GAUGAACGCUGGCGGCGUGCUUAACACAUGCAAGUCGAACGAUGAGGCCCAGCUUUCUGUGUUGAGUAGUUGCGAACGGGUGAGUAACACGUGAGUAACCUGCCCUUAACUCUGGGAUAAGCCUGUUAAACUAGGUCUAAUACCUGAUAGGAGCUUCCACCACAUGGUUGGUGUUGUAAAGAUUUAGCGGUUUUGGGUCGACUCUCGGUCUAUCAGCUUGUUAGUGAGGUAUUGGCUCACCAAGGCCACGACGGGUAGCCGGCCUGGGAGCGUGACCGGCCACAAUGGGACUGAGAGACGGAGCAGACUCGUACGGGAGGCAGCAGUGGGGAAUAUUGCACAAUGGGCGCAAGCCUGAUGCAGAGACGCCGCGUGAGGGAUGACGGCCUUCGGGUUGUAAACAUCUUUCAGUAGGGAAGAAGAGAAAGUGACGGUACCUGAAGAAGAAGCAACGGCUAACUACGUG
rnacentral:rRNA from 1 species